GACGAACGCUGGCGGCAUGCCUAACACAUGCAAGUCGAACGAGACCGUCGGGUCUAGUGGCGCACGGGGGCGUAACGCGGGGGGACCUGCCCUUAGGUUCGGAAUAACUCCCCGAAAGGGGUGCUAAUACCGGAUAAUGUAUUCGGACAAAGGAUUUAUCGCCUUGGGGUGGGCCCGCGUUGGCUUAGCGGGUUGGUAGGGUAAAAGCAUACCAAGGACACGAUGCAUAGCUGGUGUGAGAGGAUGCCCCGCAAGGCUUGGGCUGCGGCACGGCCUAGAAUCGUAGGGGAGGCAGGAGUGGGGAAUACAGGAGGAGGGGCGAAAGUGUGAUCCAGCAAUGUCGCGUGAGUGAUGCAGGGGGUAGGGUUGCAAAGCCGUUUUAGCCGGGACGAUAAUGACAGUACCGGGAGAAUAAGCACCGGCUAACUCCGUG
rnacentral:rRNA from 1 species